AAGUGCAGGAGGUAAGAAAAUGGGUCUGAGGCCCAAGGUAACAUGUUACAAGAAGAAAUAGAAAGGGUCUGAGGUUCAAAAAAACGCGCCAUUUGACUCUCAACACUUCACCGUAUCUACCACGUCGGCAUCACCUCCGAUGGCGGCGGAGAACCCAGAACCACCAACCACUUACAUCAACUUGAUCAUCUCUGUACCCUGAACUUAAAUCCAACCGUGUUUUGUCCAAAACACCAAGAGCAGUCUGAAUCGAAGCUUGAAAGGGAUGAACCCUAAAGCUUUGGAGGAAAAUUAAAUGAUGAUGGCGCACGGACUCGGGAAAUUGGUUGAGGGUUAUUGCUCUUUGAAGCUUACUCUACAAGGUGGUAACCUCUGCUUGAUGAAUGGAAGGAAAAGGUGAACAACUAUGAUGAAACUCCGACGAGAAUGAGUUAAAGCAGAUGGACUGGACUUGCAAAUAGGAUUAAGAUGGGAUGAGCCUGCCAUCAUAAUGCAGCAGCAUGAAUGGACCUGGUUUUGUACUGGGCUCAUUUGGUAGUUUGGAUUUCAUGUGAUGGAUGGUUUUGUUUCAUGCCUUUUUGUAGGCGGAGAUGCAAGGAGAUUUCAACAAGAGCAAUGGCCAUCAAGCUAAAGCAAAUGAAUCAUGUAGAUGUUGUGUGGACUUUUGUAGGAUUUACCCAUGUGAUAUUGCAUUUCCUUGGACUGAUGAAUUGGAAUGUUAUUUGUUGUGUGGGUUACCUUUCCAAAGUGUGGCUCAAAGUGUGAUUGAAUGGGCCUUGUGAUGUAUGCCAUGAAGUGUUAGCAAUAUGAAUAAAACAUGUAGCAUGAAAGCAAGUAGAAUUAGGAUCUUUUCUUUGUAUGGACAUGAACACAUGUAGUGAUACAUUUUGUUAUGAAUGUAAAUUUCCAUGGAUGAA